rnacentral:rRNA from 1 species
GGAAUAUUGGACAAUGGGGGCAACCCUGAUCCAGCAAUGCCGCGUGUGUGAAGACGGCCUGCGGGUUGUAAAGCACUUUCAGUAGAGAAGAAUUUCCGGGGAUUAAUACUUUCCGGGCUUAACUUAACCUACAGAAGAAGCACCGGCUAACUCCGUGCCAGCAGCCGCGGUAAGACGGAGGGUGCGAGCGUUAAUCGGAAUUACUGGGCGUAAAGCGCACGUAGGCGGCUUGAUAAGUCGGAUGUGAAAUCCCCUGGCUUAACCUGGGAAUUGCAUUCGAUACUGUCUGGCUGGAGUAUGGUAGAGGGUAGUGGAAUUCCGGGUGUAGCGGUGAAAUGCGUAGAUAUCCGGAGGAACACCAGUGGCGAAGGCGGCUACCUGGACCAAUACUGACGCUGAGGUGCGAAAGCGUGGGGAGCAAAC